rnacentral:rRNA from 1 species
GACGAACGCUGGCGGCGUGCUUAACACAUGCAAGUCGAACGGAAAGGCCCUGCUUUUGUGGGAUGCUCGAGUGGCGAACGGGUGUGUAACACGUGAGUAACCUGCCCUUGACUGUGGGAUAACUUCAGGAAACUGGGGCUAAUACCGGAUAGGCGCUCCUGCUGCAUGGUGGGGGUUGGAAAGUUUCGGCGGUUGGGGAUGGGCUCGCGGCUUAUCAGCUUGUUGGUGGGGUAGUGGCUUACCAAGGCUUUGGCGGGUAGCCGGCCUGAGAGGGUGACCGGCAACAUUGGGACGGGGUUACGGCCCGGACUCCACCGGGAGGCAGCAGUGGGGAAUAUUGCACAAUGGGCGGAAGCCUGAUGCAGCAACGCCGCGUGCGGGAUGACGGCCUUCGGGUUGUAAACCGUUUUCGCCUGUGACGAAGCGUGAGUGACGGUAAUGGGUAAAGAAGCACCGGCUAACUACGUG